UUUUAACUUUACUCUCAGUAGCAGAAAAUGAGUUCAGUGAAGACUUGUUUAAUUUUUCAGCUUCGGAGUUUCCUGACAUGGUAUUCGGGAGUGGACUCAGCGCUCAGAACAGAUGUCCCAGUGAUUGGCAGUUUUAAUGCUUCUCCAGUUUCACUCAGUCAAGUGAGGAUAGACACCAGCCUAUUAGUGAGACUGGACAAAACCGUGACUGGUGGAGUACCACAGUAAAUGUAAUUUGAAGAAAGCAAGAAAGAACCAAUGGCUUUAGCUGGCUGCCCGGAUUCCUUUUUGCAUCAUCCAUAUUACCAGGACAAGGUAGAUCAGACUUCUACUCACGGUCAGAGCAAGCUAGUGGAACCUGGAUUCCAAGAACAACCUACCCGAGUCGCCUUAAAUCACCAAGAUUGUCAUAAUGCAGAACAAGACUAUAAACCUAAAUGGGAUCAUGGCUACCUUUAUUAAGAGCAGGAAGGACAGAACUAAAAGUUUGAGAGGUCAGUCACUAAAGUAGAAAAAGAAAGUUAUUUACCAAGCAGAAUAAAAUAUAUU
rnacentral:lncRNA from 1 species